ACACUGCUGAGGAGUUCUACAAUAAGACGAAACGAUCGUACAGUGU
rfam:Schistosoma haematobium scaffold25_2, whole genome shotgun sequence.